rnacentral:rRNA from 1 species
UACGUAGGGGCUAGCGUUAUCCGGAAUUACUGGGCGUAAAGGGUGCGUAGGUGGUUUCUUAAGUCAGAGGUGAAAGGCUACGGCUCAACCGUAGUAAGCCUUUGAAACUGAGAAACUUGAGUGCAGGAGGGGAGAGUAGAAUUCCUAGUGUAGCGGUGAAAUGCGUAGAUAUUAGGAGGAAUACCAGUUGCGAAGGCGGCUCUCUGGACUGUAACUGACACUGAGGCACGAAAGCGUGGGGAGCAAACAGGAUUAGAUACCCGCGUAGUCCCUGAGCGGG